UACGUAGGCAGCGAGCGUUGUUCGGAGUUACUGGGCGUAAAGAGUGCGUAGGCGGUUUUCUAAGUUUGGUGUGAAAUCUCCCGGCUUAACUGGGAGGGUGCGCCGAAAACUGGAAGGCUCGAGUAUGGGAGAGGUAAGCGGAAUUCCUGGUGUAGCGGUGAAAUGCGUAGAUAUCAGGAGGAACACCUGCGGUGUAGACGGCUUACUGGACCAUAACUGACGCUGAGGCACGAAAGCGUGGGUAGCAAACAGG
rnacentral:rRNA from 1 species